UACGUAGGGCGCAAGCGUUGUCCGGAAUUAUUGGGCGUAAAGAGCUCGUAGGCGGUUUGUCGCGUCUGCUGUGAAAACCUAAGGCUCAACCUUGGGCCUGCAGUGGGUACGGGCAGACUAGAGUGCGGUAGGGGAGAUUGGAAUUCCUGGUGUAGCGGUGGAAUGCGCAGAUAUCAGGAGGAACACCAAUGGCGAAGGCAGAUCUCUGGGCCGUAACUGACGCUGAGGAGCGAAAGCAUGGGGAGCGAACAGG
rnacentral:rRNA from 1 species